rnacentral:rRNA from 1 species
UCAAACUUUUGUAUGGCGACCGGCGCACGGGUGAGUAACACGUAUCCAACCUGCCUCAUACUCGGGGAUAGCCUUUCGAAAGAAAGAUUAAUACCCGAUGUUAUAGUCCUACCGCAUGAUGGGAUUAUUAAAGAAUUUCGGUAUGGGAUGGGGAUGCGUUCCAUUAGUUAGUUGGCGGGGUAACGGCCCACCAAGACAACGAUGGAUAGGGGUUCUGAGAGGAAGGUCCCCCACAUUGGAACUGAGACACGGUCCAAACUCCUACGGGAGGCAGCAG